AUGGAAGUCACUCCAGCGAACGACCAAAUCGCGGGCGGAAGCCAAUUCUUUCUGUUGCCUCAUACUUUGUUACGGGACAAAUCCCCCUCAAGAAGCAGGUUUGGCGCCAUGGCAGAUUCCUCGAGCUUCUCAUCAUCCCAUCAUUUCCAGCUUGUAGCAAUCCAAAUUAUCCAAUUCUUUAGUCGAUGAUGGCUCCAUAACGCCAUUAAAUAUCGGAGCUUGAUGCAGAUGACCAGCCCUACAAGAGCACACCAGCCGAGCGCCGGAGAAAGGAGAAGAUGAGCGAACCCGGCUCGCAUCCCGAAAGACUCCUCCGCCCGCUUUCUCGACGGGAUUUAGUGGAAAAUUUUGGAGUAUUUUCUUCUAUUUUUUGAAGAUUUGUUCUUGCUCUUUUGCUAUUUGUGGCAGGUUCUUGAAGGAUUCCUUGUGAGGAUAGCAUCGAGAUCGAAUAUUUUUGGUUACAUAUCAUCGUUUUUUCGUGGAAUUCCGUGUUGUUUAUGUUUUCCUUCUUCGGAACCGAGACACCAAUCUCGCUUCUUUGACCUAGCAAUUCCUGUUUCGAUUUGUUCUCAUCGGUCAACACAUCCUAAUUCUUGGCUAAUAGUCGUUGGAAUUGGGGGAAACGAGUACAUGGGGAAUGGAUUGGCUUGCAUGCCAAAGAAAGACCUCAGAGGCGGCAUCGGGUCUCGUAGCAGAAGGGGUUCCUACUCGAGAUCACAGAGGAAGACGGCGGCAUCCGAGGAGGAGCUAUUGCACCACCGGGCCCUAGCGAUGGCAAUUCACCAGCACCAGUUGUCUCAACGCUUCGAUGGAUCGAUGUCUCGCAGGAUUGGUUCCACGAGUUCUCGAAGAAGGGACCUUCCUGAUUCUGUCACAAAUGGAAAGCUGCCUCCUGCUUUUCUAGAGAAUCUUGAAACAAGGAAAAUUAUUCUAGUACAUGGAGAAGGAUUUGGGGCAUGGUGUUGGUACAAGACCAUGUCUCUUUUGGAGGAAUCAGGACUACUUCCUGUUGCGUUAGAUCUCACAGGUUCUGGCAUAGAUCAAACAGAUAUCAAUAGCAUCACAUCCUUAGAGGAUUAUGCAAGGCCCCUCAUCACUUGCCUUCAAAGCCUUCCAGAUGAUGAGAAGGUUAUUUUGGUUGGUCAUAGUUGUGGAGGUGCGAUUGUUUCAUAUGCUCUAGAAAGCUAUCCAAGAAAGGUAUCAAAAGCAGUAUAUGUGUGUGCCACAAUGGUAUUGAAUGGGCAGAAACCUUUCGAUGUAUUUUCGGAGGAACUAGCAUCUGCGGAUCUUUUUUUGCAAGAGUCACAAUUUCUAGUGUAUGGAAAUGGAAGAGAUAAACCUCCUACCAGCAUCAUGUUUGACAAACAACAAAUCAGGGCACUAUAUUUCAACCAGAGUCCACCAAAGGAUGUUGCUUUGGCCACGGUAUCAAUGAGACCCAUCCCGCUGGCUCCAAUCAUGGAGAAGCUCUCCCUCACCACAGAGAACUACGGCACGGUCCGACGAUACUUCAUCCAGACGCUCGACGAUCGCAUUCUCUCGCUCGAUGUCCAAGAGAGAUUGGUCCGUGAAAACCCCCCUCAUGGCAUGUACAAGAUCAAAGGCAGCGACCACUGCCCCUUCUUCUCAAAGCCACAGACACUGAACAAGAUUUUGAUCGAAAUUGUGCAGAUCCCUUUGGAAAACGCCCUCAAUGAUCCUUCAUGAGGUUACACAUUGCAAAGUGAUGAGGUGAAACCACAGAGUAAAAGCCAUACUGGAAAUGACAAACGUUUGCACAGGAUUCUUAGUUCAGCCAGCAUUCAUUGUCGAUGUUAAGGGUCAGAGAUGGGGAUGGCGAUCGAGAUCGCAGCCGAUCCAAGAAUUUGAUCCUGAUGGAAGCCUCCGCUUCAUCCCACCCUGAUUUCUACGAUUUCGUCCCUCUCGGAUGUGGCAAUCGGUCGCCCGGAUCUCUUUUGCUCCAUCAAAAGCUCUCUCCACUCGAUUUGAGGGACUCGAUUUGAAACGAUAAAGUAAAAAAGAAGCUGCAACCCUGCCGAAUUAGUUAGCAGCGCCAGUAGCUGCCAUGAGUAGUCACCACGACGAGGGCCUACAGACACUGAAGUCGGCUUCAUCAUCAGCUUGCAGAUGGUCAAUAAAGCUUGCAACAAACAAUGCAGAGGAUGCGUUCAUGUUGUUAUAAAAAAUAAAAUCUAGAUUUACUGUAACAGCUUAUAGCAUUAUUUUCGAAGCCAUGUUAAAAGAUUUUAAAUUCUUUCGAUCCAAUGUCAAAAUUUACCCCUA